AGCAGUCGCCGCGGUAAUACAGAGGGUGCGAGCGUUAAUCGGAUUUACUGGGCGUAAAGCGUGCGUAGGCGGCUUCUUAAGUCGGAUGUGAAAUCCCUGAGCUUAACUUAGGAAUUGCAUUCGAUACUGGGAAGCUAGAGUAUGGGAGAGGAUGGUAGAAUUCCAGGUGUAGCGGUGAAAUGCGUAGAGAUCUGGAGGAAUACCGAUGGCGAAGGCAGCCAUCUGGCCUAAUUCUGACGCUGAGGUACGAAAGCAUGGGGAGCAAACAGGAUUAGAUACCCCCGUAGUCCCUGUCUCUUAUAC
rnacentral:rRNA from 1 species